GGGAGAUUCAGAGCGACCGCCGAAAUCCCGGAGCGAGCACUCGGAUCGCACGAAGCCACCUCUGCCAGUGAAACACGAGAAUGCUCCGUGAGAGGUGCCCCGGAAGUUGAUUAUGCAUACGUCACGCAAACCGGUUCCGGAAACAGUUUAUUUUUCCGCUCUCUUCGUUUCCUUGGCAACUUUGGCCGCCACUGCAGGGCGCGCAUUUCGACCACGCAGUUAAAGCUUUGUAGAACACUUUAACGCAGUCGCGAACAGCAGUUGUGUAGCAAGUAUGGACGAGCACGCGGAAUUGACACCGGCUGUGCGUCGGCUGUUGCUGGGCGUUUUCAGAAACAGCGGCAACGAUCUGAACGGUAAGUGCGACGUACUUGACGCUGAUAAUAAACUCUGCACGGAAUGCUAACUUUGAUAGCUCCGCAUGAAGACUGGUCAGAUAAUUGUAAAGCAUGCGGGUACACGUGGUAACGGCCGCAAUCGGCGCUCGCAAAAAUACGGCAUGUUGUGAGCAGGCUUUUUUUUUAAUCAGAGCAGUUGCUUACCCAACACCUUACAGUCCUACUAUUUAGAAUAUCACAAGCGCCGGAAUUUUCGCAGCGCUCACCAAGCUGCUGUAUUACCUUUAAUAAAAAUGCAUGGCGAUCUCUGUAUUCGCGCAUGAAUACAUGCAUGAAAAAUUUACUAGAGAAGUAACGUUUUCUUGGUGAUUCUUGACCUCUACUCUUUUGGUGUUAACCCGCAAAUGUCUUUUCUUUUUCUCUAUUUGAAGGUGCUACACAGUGUGACGCCACCGACGCUUUGUCACAUACACAGGGCGCAUUUUUAGGAAAUGAUUCUGCAGCGUCUACUGGUGCGUCACCAAGUCGGGCUUGUCAGCCAGGGACUCCUGCACGUGCUGCAGGGUGUGAGUGGACGAGUGGCGAGACGAAGCUGCUGCUGGACCUCUACGCCUCAUAUUUCCCUCAAGUUGGCCCUCUGAAAAAAUUUCGC